rnacentral:rRNA from 1 species
AACAGCCGCGGUAUCCUAACCGUGCUAAGGUAGCAUAAUCAUUUGCCUAUUAAUNUAUAGGCUAGCAUGAAUGGGAUUACUCACUUAAAUUUAUUUUCAUUACAAUUAAAAUUAAACUUUAAGUUAAAAUACUAAAUUUUUAAGAAAGACAAAAAGACCCUGAAAACUAUUAGAAGAUAAUUAGUUGGGGCAACUAUAGACCACUACAGCGUCUAUUAAAAUAAGAAUUCUAAAAUUCAAAGCAUACAGUUACUUCAGGGAUAACAGACUAAUUGUAUUAUUUAGACCUAAUAAAUAAUAAAGAUUGGCACCUCGAUGUUGGCUUAUAAUUCCUUCAUAUAGUAACAUAUAUUGAAGGCAGCU